CAUAGCCUGUGGAUAGCAUCAUAGGUAAUUACUGCUCAAUGUCAACUAUAAAUAGCCGUGGUAUAUAUGACCAUGCUAAGGUAGCAUAAUAAUUUGUUUAAUAAUUGUAGACUGGAAUGAAUGUAAUCACACGUAUCAAAUGUCUCCCUCUUAAUUACUCGAAUUUCCUGUGUAGGUGAAAAAGCCUACUAAUAAAAUGGGACGAGAAGACCCUUAGAAUUUACUAAUGUUAAUUUCACUGGGGCGGUGCUGGCAUUGGAUCUGCUAUAGUUUUCUACAAGACGGUUGUAUCAGGAAUGAAAAAAUUACCUAAGGGAUAACAGCAUAAUUUUAUAAUCAAGAUUGUGACCUCGAUGUUGGACUAGGGAAUUCUAGGGUCAGAAGCUCUAGAAGUAGGUUCUGUUCGAACUUUUUCCCCUACGUGAU
rnacentral:rRNA from 1 species